CUGCUGCCUUCCGUAGGAGUCUGGUCCGUGUCUCAGUACCAGUGUGGGGGACCUUCCUCUCAGAACCCCUACGCAUCGUCGCCUUGGUGGGCCGUUACCCCGCCAACUAGCUAAUGCGCCGCAUGCCCAUCCUCCGCCGGAAUCGCUUCCUUUUAACACCCGUGGGAUGCCCCACAGAUGUACCACGCGGUAUUAGUCCGGAUUUCUCCGGGUUAUCCCCCUGCGGAGGGCAGGUUGCAUACGUGUUACUCACCCGUGCGCCGGUCGCCGG
rnacentral:rRNA from 1 species